AAAUUGGAAUGCCUAUCAUAUUAUUAAGAAAUUUAAAUUAAGUAUCUGGUUUAUGCAAUGGUACAAGAUUAAUUGUAACAAAUUUAUUUGAUCGAUUAAUAGAAGCAAAAAUUUUAACAGGAACCAAUACAGGUCAAAAAAUUUUUAUACCUAGAAUCAUUCUUACAGCAAUUGAAAACAAAUGGCCAUUUAUUUUUAAAAGACGUCAAUUUCCAAUUAGACCAUGCUAUGCUAUGACAAUUAAUAAAAGUCAAGGUCAAUCACUAAAUCAAGUUGGCAUAUAUUUACCUGAGCCUGUUUUUACUCAUGGACAAUUAUAUGUUGCACUUUCAAGAGUUACAUCAAAAAAUGGUUUAAAAAUUUUGAUAAAUAAUAGCGAUGAUAUACCAAAUAAAUAUACAAAAAACAUAGUUUACAAAGAUGUUUUGCAAAAUCUAUGAAAAAAUAUAUAUAUUACAUUACAUCUCAAUAUAAUCGUGAACUCCAAAUCUCAAAUUGAAUAUUUGCUUGCCACUUGGUAUGUUCUCUAUACUACUUUAUUUAAGUGUUUACAUUGCAUAAUUUAGUUUAUUUUAGGGGCUUGCUCUAUUUACUACUAUUUGGUUUUUGGUAACUAUUUUACAUUUUUACUCUGUGAUAUUGAUAGGAUGUAUGUGACUUGGAGGUGGAAACAACUCUUUUGCAGUCAGAAUGAUGCCCCACAACUCUUCCUCCAAAACAUACUGAUUUCGUUAUUUUUCAAAAACUGAUGCUCAGAUGUUUCUUCUACUCAUAUUCUCAAUAAAUACAGUAUACUGCAGCACACUGGUCAAGUUUCUAGCAACAGACAUGACAACUACAAGUCAAACCACCUAAGCUCCUGCAAAACAAGGUAAUGAACAAGGUGAUACUUGGACUUUUGUCCAUCCCAAAAGCACUCAUCAACAGAUGUUGCAGCGCAUACAACUCCAAAAAUCAGAAAGUGAUAGAGAUACAUUGCAAGAAAGACAGAGUGUGAAGGCUAAUUCGAGGGAGAGGAAGAGCAGGGAAUGGGAAGAGCCUGAUACCCCUCACCAUGUUCAUGCUGGGAAUAUGUGACAAUUCGAUUUUAGAAUUUGUUUUUUCUUUUUCUCUGUUUGAGUUGAAAGCUCUGUGGGUUUUGAAGAAGAAAGAAGAACAAGAAUAUACGAGCUUUAAAAUCUUCAUUGAUUGGUAAGGUUGGUAAUUCAGUUCCAUUUGUUUCUCAUAAUUGGAAGAGCUGGAGUCAUCUGAUUGGUAAUAUAUAAAAUUAACAAGUGAAGAAAGUAGAUAACUCAGAUAAAAGGAACAAGGGGACGGGAACAAUCAGUUUUUUUUUUUUUUUCUCUUUCCAGAAUCACAGCUUUAACUGAGCUCAAUCACUCACUCAAGAAGCUGUUAAUUUAUCCUGAAAGUCAACAAAUAAUGUUCUCUGCAAUGCUCUUUGUUUUUUUUUUUUUUUUUUUGUAGUUUAGAAGA